GUUCUCAGCAGCUCAGUGGAGCCUCCUGACGCCUUCCCAGGAGCGCCUCCGAGGUGGUGGCCAGUCAGCCAGCUCUGCAGGCCUGUCGCCAAGGCCUCUGAAAGCAGAUAAGGUUUUCCCUUUCCUGGGGCAAGAAAAUGAGUCUCCCUCCUGCGAGGAGGACUCUCCAUGCCAGGUGAGAAUGUCUGUGUCUUGCCUGUGUGUCUUGCCCUGGACGGUGCCCCUGUGUCGGGUUGAGCCUUCUCGGUCUUCGUGGAGGCCUGGACACUCCUGUUGUUUCUCAGUGGAGGCGUGAGCAAUACCGCGUGAUCGCGGUGUUUCAUCUUUAUUCAAAUGCUCUGUGGUUCCUGUGAGACGAGACAAGCUUCAGAGAGCCUUGUAAGAACAGACAUUUGUUUUGCUCUCUUUUCAUGAGCGCUCCUUGGCCCCCCCCCCUUUUUUUUUUUUU